UACGGAAGGUCCGGGCGUUAUCCGGAUUUACUGGGUGUAAAGGGCGCGUAGGCGGGGAUGCGAGUCAGAUGUGAAAUCUAUGGGCUCAACUCAUAAACUGCAUUUGAAACUGUAUUUCUUGAGUACUGGAGAGGUAGACGGAAUUCCUUGUGUAGCGGUGAAAUGCGUAGAUAUAAGGAGGAACACCAGUGGCGAAGGCGGUCUACUGGACAGCAACUGACGCUGAGGCGCGAAUGCGUGGGGAGCAAAC
rnacentral:rRNA from 1 species